CUGACUACCGUCCAGGGGACCGGUGUGUGGCUAUCAACACAGGACCUCCCUCUCCACCUGUCCUGUCGUAAGUUGGCGCCCCGGUAUGUGGGGCUGAUCAAGGACCUCCGGAAGGGUUGGUUCCUUGUCAACUGGGGGGUUCGGAGCCCGCUGCCACUCCACCGGGUCCGUUUGAGGUGGAAGGGGGUCCUGUGUACGCGAUGGAAGCCAUCCUGGACUCCCAGCAGCGGUGGGGUCAGCUCCUGUACCUGGUGGACUGGGCAGGCUACUGAUUGGAGGAUAAUAGACUGUAAUCUAACACUACGGCCCUGAAGAGCGCUGUUGGGGAACGACCACACUUGCCUGCCGGACAGGCCCGGGGCCCACCCCACCCGGUGCACCGACAGGUGUUGUAGUCAUGGUGUGGCAGUGCCAAACCCUCGACUGUGCUCUUCCUCGCCGGAGUACUAAUCACCAGCAUGGGAACGAUAGCAGCAACUCUCCUUCCCCACACCUCGUUGUGUUGACUACCAUUGCUUUAAGUUGCCCUGUUUUCUGUUCCCC
ensembl:lncRNA